rnacentral:rRNA from 1 species
CAGUCGCCGCGGUAAUACGGAGGGUGCAAGCGUUAAUCGGAAUUACUGGGCGUAAAGCGUGCGUAGGUGGUGGUUUAAGUCCGUUGUGAAAGCCCUGGGCUCAACCUGGGAAUUGCAGUGGAUACUGGGUCACUAGAGUGUGGUAGAGGACAGUGGAAUUUCCGGUGUAGCAGUGAAAUGCGUAGAGAUCGGAAGGAACAUCUGUGGCGAAGGCGACUAUCUGGGCCAACACUGACACUGAGGCACGAAAGCGUGGGGAGCAAACAGGAUUAGAUACCCCUGUAGUCCCUGUCUCUUAUAC